GGGAAGUGUCCCUUUGGCCCGGCUGUGCGCUACGGCCCCGCCCGCCGGGAGAGCGCCGGGCGCCUGAGGAGAAAAGGGGCGGGAAGAGCCCGGGGAUGGAAUGCGCAGGAGAAGGAAGUGGGGAUAAUGACGGAGUGUCACCGUGUGCGGGCCCUCCGCGGGGCUCGGCGGCUCCGAGGGCACGGAGUGCAAAUAGAGUGGGUUCGGGAGCCGUUCUGAAAAGAAAGGCUGCCUUUGAGGGCCGCUGUCGGGAGCCGCGAAACUUUUAUCCCCGCGGAUGAAGUGCCGGGUUCGUCAGAGCUGUGUACUCACGGAGGGGUAAUGAAAGAGCAAAGCUUUUAGCGUGGUGGAUGGAUGAAAAUAGGCCGCUGUGAGACUGAAAAUACGAUGAAGGUGGCACACCGCAGUGCUAAUUAAGUGUCUUAAUUGGGAAAAUAAUAACGCCCUCUCGGAUGUGCAUUGGGUCUGCUCAUUUCUCAGCUGUAUGAGUACACACAGGUGCAAGGAAAGUCAACAUUAUGUAAGAUGCCAAAAACCUUUGCUGGAACGUCGCUCCCUGCUGACAAGAUGAUCCCACACCGGGGUGUGGGCAUUCCGGAGAAUUAAACCUGUGUGUGAAAACACAUCUCAUAGAAACCAUGAACGCAUGCCAAGGCAAACCCUUGUGCCACGAAAUGCAGCACUUUCAACUCAUCGACACAAGCUCCGAGCUGCAGUAUUUUCUGUCAAAAAAAAAAAAAAUCAGGACAUCAGCACAUUUGUUUGUACUUGGAAAUCAACACCAUUUUUGAAUCUUCCCAGAGAAAUCGCCCUGCAAAGCAAUUUCCCACCCUGGAUUCAGCACUCCGCUUCUGCACCGUUCCCAAUCCCCGCUAAUCCUGGGCACAAAAAGUCCCUGUGGCCGACAGUGCUGCUGCGGGGCACACGUGGUGCUGCAGUCACAGGGAUGGCCCUGUUAUGGAGCUUUUCACCUUGAUAUGUUGCCUUGCAUCAAACAGAUAAUGUACAGGCCUCAAAAUACUCAUCCAAGGUCCUGCUGCCAUAUGCAGACCGUUCUGCAGCAAACAAGGGAUCUGUGGGCUGAACCCACGUAGCAUCUCAGCAGUGCACCUCCACAAUUGGAAGCUCAUCCCCAAAGCAGUACUGCUAAUUGCUUAAUGUUCUUCAACAGGUGGAAACUGCAAGUAGAUCAGCUUUUUGUUUGAUGGCAUUUACAGAAAGAUUCCCUGUACAUGCUCGCAGCCGGCACUACCAUUCCUGACAGAUUAAUGGUGUGCGUUGCAGCGGCUCCUACAGACACCACUCAUAAGUCAGGUCCCUGCUGCAAGAAUAUCAGUGGCUCUGGAAAAAUGUGCUCUGCUGAGGACAGGGCAGGACACCAGAGAGAGCUGCUCGCUCUUUCCGGUCGAUUGGACAUCCAGCCCACUUGCACUACAACUGGCCUGGUCACAUGCAGUGUGCCGAAGCUGAAUGUGGCUGCUCUCAGCUCAUGAUGUGUGGUCCGAGUCUGAUCUGCUGCCUGAUCCCUGAGAGAGUACAUGAGGGUGGUCGAAGGCAUCUCAUCAUAAGCACGGAGCUGUGAUGAUCAUUUAUGCUUUGGAAGACAUGCUAUAUAGCUACCCAGAGCCCUGGCAGUGCAGCUGGUGUGGCUCAGCGUGAAAGAUCAGCACAGGAAUGAGGAUGAGAGCACAGAGCACAGCCCCACGCACUCUCACCACAAGCUAUCACUGUGUUAUGGCUGUGGCUGAAAAUAGCUGCCCUACAAUGAGUGUGAGGGGAGCAGAGCUCACGGUGAGCAGAGCCACCAGCCUGGCUCAGGGCUUCCCUUCUGGCAGAGUCUGGGUCUGAAAGGGGGAACUUUCCAUUCUGAAACUUCCACUGCGAUGCUCAUGCACUUCCCUAAAGUGGAGGUUUGCACAACCUGAAACAAACCUCUUGGCCUCACUGAUCGUCCUGUGGGAAAAUAAGACAGAUAGAGAACAAACUUCACUUCCUUUUUCCCCCAAUUCUCUCCGUGUUUACAAAAAAUUACUUCCUUUUUCCCCAAAUUCCCUUUCUUCUACUGGGUUUCACAAAAACAGAAUCCCAAAUACUGUAUGCCCUUAGAAAUACUUUUUCUGAGCGGAACUUGAAUCUCUCUUCAUGCUCAUUUCCAGUGGCAGUACUCCAUGAUGAAUGAACUAUCUUUACAGUUUAAGCAGAGCAGGUCAGACCCCACUCCACCAGCGGUGUCUGCAGCUGUUUUCACAGCACCAGCCCGCAUCCUGUCCGUGUUUACGCAAACACUCUUAUCCCAUUUAUUAUUGCCAAACUCCUGCCCAUCAUCCGCUUCAGAGAAAUAUCAGCACAUGACCUGGCACGCAUCCCUCAGAGAUAACCCUGCUGGUUAUCGCGCUCCCCACCUGCCUGCCCCCUCCCCUCCUUGCUGCCUUUGCACUCUUAUCCUCCGCAGGAUCUCCCUUCCAGCAUUUCCUUCCCCGUUUGCCGUGGCAGGGAAGGAUUCAGCUUUCACUGCUCAUUUUGUGUUAAGUCAGAGGUAUUUCUGUAAAUACGGAGGCUGCACAUGCUCUGUUUCGAACUCAUGUCUAUGGGAAGCUGUGACUGAGUUUGUAAAAAAUACGUGGAAAAAAAAAGAGACAGAAGUUUUCAAGACUCCUUCAACGCUGCUCAGAAUGAAUCAUCCAUACCUAAAAAUUAUGAAAACCUCAGAAAUGGCACGUUAACAUACCUAGGAAGAACAAGUGCCUGGCAAUGAUAUAAAAGCUGUCUGUAGCAGGAUGUGGAAUAUAAUUACAGGCUCAGUUUUCUGAGAGAUGAAAGAGGCAAUUCUUCAGAAACUUGGUUCUGUCUGCUCCUCAAAGACCCCGAAUAAAGUGAUGGAAUUUUGGUCCUGCU
ensembl:lncRNA